UUGCCGGCGAGCGGCGGACGGGUGAGUAAUGCCUGGGGAUCUGCCCAGUCGAGGGGGAUAACUACUGGAAACGGUAGCUAAUACCGCAUACGCCCUACGGGGGAAAGCAGGGGACCUUCGGGCCUUGCGCGAUUGGAUGAACCCAGGUGGGAUUAGCUAGUUGGUGAGGUAAUGGCUCACCAAGGCGACGAUCCCUAGCUGGUCUGAGAGGAUGAUCAGCCACACUGGAACUGAGACACGGUCCAGACUCCUACGGGAGGCAGCAGUGGGGAAUAUUGCACAAUGGGGGAAACCCUGAUGCAGCCAUGCCGCGUGUGUGAAGAAGGCCUUCGGGUUGUAAAGCACUUUCAGCGAGGAGGAAAGGUUGGUAGCUAAUAACUGCC
rnacentral:rRNA from 1 species